rnacentral:lncRNA from 1 species
UGAAUAGGGAUACCAAGAAUUAAUGGAGAUACAUGAGAAUGAAGAGAUCAUGAUCCACCUGAAAUAAAACUAGAACAAGGCACCGGAUAAACGAGAGAUGAACGAAGAGACAACAAUUGAGAAGAAUUGAGGAUGAAAGCUGAAAGCUGAGAACGAAGAAUCUUCUGAAAUGAUGGCCUUCGGAGGAUCGAGAAUGAAAACAACUCAGAAAUGCACCGAUAGCAAGAAAGGGAUACUCAUGAUUGGAACGAUUAAGAUGAUGGCACCAGGCUGAAAUGAUGAAUCUUCUAG